AAAGUAUUCAGAUACAGACACCGAUAUUUGAGGUUCCUGUGACAGGAGAUGAAACCAUUCAAAUAGGAGGAGAUUUUGCUCACAAACUCCUAAUGUUUGCACCUAUGGGUUAGAAACCAGAUUACAUUCAACCCCACUGUGAACAUUAGAUGUCCUGAGGUGUCUACCUUUGGCUGCAGUUGGUUGAGUUGACUAUCUGUAUGAUCUGCCAGCCCAUUAAGUGAUACUAAAGACUCAGUCAUGUGGCAAAACAAAGCUGAAAAAGCAUAGCACACUUGGCAAAUGUUGAGGCCAAUUUUUUAGCAAAAGAAAGAAAGAAUAAAUGAAUACAAUUUAAAAAGUGAACCAGUGCUAUAUUUAAGUGUUUUAAGGUUGUUUUGUUUUUGUUCUUCUUUCUCUUUCUCUUGUUCAUAUCUCUGCAGGAUGCCAGCCCCAGGCUGAGGUGUAUAGAUGCAUUGGUAGUCUUAUUCCUUAGUAGGGGCCCUGUUGAUGAGGUCACACUGUAUUUCUCAUGUUCUUUGUACGUAGGUGUAUAUUAUGUGACUCUUCACCAGUCCCUUCAUCCGAGGUUCUUGGGGGCCUCCUGCUUUUACACUCUAAAGGCACCAGGCUUCUCUCCUGCUGAGGGGAAGCAAUUAGGUACUUUCACCAUAGUGUGAAAACAUUAAGUUUAAAGUUGUAGGAGGACUUGAAAGUAGAAAAUAAAAAAAACCCACAAACAUCUUCUCUUCAAAUAUCUCCUAUUUCUUGAUGGGCCUUUUUGACAUAAUUCUUGAAAGGGAGUUUAAAUUGUUGCCAUGGUCUUUUAUUCUUUCAUUCCUUUUAGGGUUCCAAGCUCAGCUAUGUGUUUUUUAUUAAGAUACUUUCUCGAAAGACUUGCACACCAUCUCUAAAGGCCUCUUGCACAUUUUCCAGCUGUUGUGUAUUUCUUCUUUUGGUACUUCCUUUCUUUAAUCAUCUCUGGCACUGCCUGCCUCCUGUUCCAUGCUGCUACCAGACAUAGCCCACUCAACAGCUGGCCUCUAAGGAAGGAGCCUGCUGAUGAUCUUGCAAUGUGACAUUUAUAUUGUAGGUAGGAGACAUCAUUUUGGCAGCUUCUAGUUAUGAAGGAGUAGGGUAGGUUACACUGCAAAACUGUACUUGGUCCGAAGCCCAAACAACUGACACUGGCCCUCAGAACACUUUAAAGAACAACUUAUGAACUCUUCUUGGCCCCAGGAAGUGUUAAUAAAUGCCACAGUUUACCUAUAAAAAAUUGCUCUGGACUCGGGUGAGGACAAAAUUCGGCUGAAGAAUUAUAAUUUUUGCUGAUCUCCGGAUAAGAAAUAGAGUCUCCAAAAUGCAUCCUUCUAUUUUUGAGAGUGGAGAUAUUCAAGUAGCAAUGGAAGCAUCUAUCAAUGAAGAUGUAGAAACAGAAUCUUGACUGGGGCAGGAAGUUGAACAUGAUGAUUACCAAGAUCUCUUACAAUCUAACACACAUCUAAUAUCUAAAAUUUGAAGUAUUGGCUGGUUACAGGUAAAAAUUGUGUUGUGAAGUCAUUCAUGAUUUUCUUCCUUUUCUCAUCAGAAAAUCCUUUAUCCAAAGAAUGUGAUUAAUAUCACUAUGAAACAUAUCAGUUCAAAUUCUCAUUUUCUUCCUCUGUAAAAUGAAGAAAACAACAUUCACUUUAGAUUUUUAAAAGAAGAUUGAAUGAACUCAGAUUUUCCCAAUGUGUUAUAAAUUGCCAGAACAAACCUGAGAAUGUUUUCUCCGGUUCCUGAUUGGACCAGAUAAAGCACUUGCCUAGAACAACCUGAGGCAUACAAAGGGGUGAACCUAACACAUGUAUUUUCUCCAUAAGGCACUUCAGAGUCUUCUUGCACUCAGGAACACCAGGCAGCACUUCAGUCCUAUGCCUGGAAGCCAUCUUAAACGUUACAAGCAAAAAGCACAAAAUGCCAAAAACAUGACACUAAAUGGACCAUGAGAAGGAUAGACAGUUAUUUAAAUUAUGGGACCUGAAACAAAGUGGCGGAGGGUUACCUUGUUCAAGCUCAGUUGGGAACCUUCCCAUUAGGUGACACAACUCUGUUGCCACUUUUCACAUGUCCUCAAAUGACUGUGAAUGCACUGAGAUUAUGGAUUUGGGGGUUAUGCAUAAAUUUAGUGAGUAGGUGAAUUUGACAAUAUGAAAUCCAUUAAUAAUGAGGUUAGAUUGUACCUGCUGCAUGUUAUACGGGAAAAGAGUUAUAUGGAAGAGCAGGAUUUCAACAGUAAUAAUAAUGGAUUAUUUUUCAAGGACGUUGUCAAAUGAACCUUUUUAAUACAAAUGGCAUUUUCACUGAUGUUAAUGUGAACAGUGGCUCAAAGGAACCUAACCCAGUAUUUCCCCUUGGAGCAGUAAUUAGUAUUCACUAAUUUAUUGUUUGUAGUAACUUUAUAGAAUAUGCUACUGUGAAUAAUAAGAAAUGACUACAUAGUCACCAAGACAACAACAAUGAUAAUAUUGGAUUAUUUGCUAAGAACUUUCUAAUCCUGUACUAAGCACAGGACUAAGCAUUGUACAAACAUUUUACAGCAGACAAUUGAGGAAUCUGUAUUAUUCAUAUUUUAUAGAAGAUGAAAUUAUAAUUCAGUAAAUUUAAAGAUCUAGUGUAAACAAAGAACUGAAUUGUAAAUACAGAGCUUUCUGAUUAUGAAGCUAAUGAUCUUUCUGCUAAUCUACAAUGUCCAACUUUAAUAAUGAGCUUGAUUGAGUAUGUAUUGUAUGUUAGACCUGCUUGUAAAGUCAAUGAAAUGAUUUGAUUUUCACUGUCAAAAUUCCCAAGCAUAAAUGCAGCAAUUGGGAGGAAAUCUCUCAUCUAUCAACAAGUUAUUGUUUCUGGCAAUUUUUACCAAAGAGAUAAAUCCACUACUCUUCCAACUCUUGUCUUUCUUUAUCUGUUAUUGUUUUAUCAGUUAUACUGUGGGCACGGUAAUGUAUAUUCCAGAACACUUCAUUUAUUUGGACAUACCAUAUGAUCUGUUGACUGAGAUUAUUCUAAUUUGCUAAAACGAUUAUAUUCAUAAAAAGUGCUAUAGCAAGUAACCAUAAUACUGAUUUUGAAUUGCAUAAUUAUGAGAAUAGAAGUUUUCAGAACUAGAGUUAGGUUUUUUCUAUCAUUGCUGUCCCACUUUUCAUUUCUACUAUUGUUCAUAGAAUAAAAUUUUAAAGUGUGAAACUUUCUGAUAAAUGUGAAGCAGUAUUUUUUGUUUUUCCAUUUUUUGAGAAAUUAAAAGGGCACAGAAAUAUGAUUUUAGAGGAAUGUUGCAUAGAGAUAAUGAUAUGUAUUACACUUCUUGAAAAUAGAUGACCUUUCCUUGGAUCUUAAGUAGGGGGCAGGAAGAAGUAGACAAGAGAUAACUUAGGAAGGCAGCUUAUAGGAAUGAAGGGGCAAUAUGGCCCUCCUGCCUCACUGGAUGUGUUUUCUAUAACUUGCAAUCCAGGGCUUGUAUCAGUGAGUUCUCUGCCAUUGAUUUUUCUCUUAGGAAAUUCAUCAUAUUAUUAUGUAAUUUGUACUUGCGAUGAAGAAAUCAUAUUAAUCACUCUACAUCCUAACAUUGUGAAAAUAUUUAUAAAGACACCCAGACUCUUAUGUUCAUUAUGCUACAACAUAUCAUAACACAGUUUUCUGUGAUCACAUUAUAAAUGCAUAUUUGGGGGUUAUAUACAAAUGAACAUCUUAAUCAUUCAAUGGGAAAGUCUAUGAAUAUGUGGGAGGUAGUUUGAGUGAAUGAGUAUAAAAGAAAUGUUGUGUUCAGCAAAGAUCAACUGACUCCUCCACAGUUUAGCCUGAGCUUGCCCUGCCUGCCAAGAAAUGCAGAACAUAAUUCUUUUUUUUAAUGAUAUCCCUGAAUAUCUUGCAAAUGGAUUUCCAAUCACGGUUACAUAGACAUUCGUUGUAGAUGUAAGUCUUAUAACUUAAUACAAGGUAAAACCUAUGAAUUCGUAAAAUAUGGUGGCUAUAAAUGACUAAAAUAUAUUCCAGUUUUAUCUGAAAUAUGCUUUCUGGUUUUCACUCAAUUAAGUAUAUGCUACAAUUUUUGAUACUUAAAAAAACCUAUUGUAUUUCAAUAAACAGUAAGGAGUUAUAUAAGAUUUUCCACAGUGAAAAUUACUUUUUGAGAUUUCCCAUUACUAUUUUUGCAACAUUCAAAAGCUAUCAUCUUGGGGUCUUGGUAUACUGAGGAGGUAUUAGAAGAAAAUUGUGAAAAUAACUAUUUUUAAAAUGCAUACUAAUAAUGUAAGAAUUAUAAAAAUUAUUAAAAAGUUUAAAGACAAAUGCAAAGAAAUUCUUAAAAUUUUACUGUCUAGAUAAAGGCAUAAUUAACAUAUAUUAAUCAUUUUUUCUUUCUUUGUCUCUCUCCAUACUACACACACACACACACACACACCCACAAGAGGGGUGAUCCAAAGAGUUGCUUUUUAUUUAUAGUUUUAAUUUUUGCUGAAAUUCUUUCUAUUCUCUCAUUAACCACUUUUAUUUUCUCAUUAUAUCUAUAGAUCCCACAUGCUAUAUGCAUUUACAACAGUUAUUUUAAAAUAUUUGUUUACUAAUUUCAAAAUCUGUGUUAUCUUUGCAUCUUUUUCUAUGAACUGAUUUCUCCUAGUUAUGGGACAUAGAUUCUUGUUUUCUUUUUGUCAUAUUAAUUGUCUGUUGGUGCAUAAAAAUUAUCCUAAAACUUAGCACUUUAAAGCAAUGAUUACUUAUUAUCUUAUAGAGUGUCUGAGGGUCAGAAAUCUGGGUGUGGUGUUGCUGGAUUGCUGUGGCUCUAGGUGUCUCAUGUGGUUGCAGUCAAGUUGUCAGUCAGUGUUGCAGUCAUCUAAAGAGACUGAAGAUGUACUUCCAAGCUCACUCAUUUGGCUGUUUGCAAGUGCUUUGGUUACUUGCUAUAUGGCCCUCUUCAUCUACUAACAUGAUAUGAUUGCUGGAUGCUGUCAGAGCUCGUGAUCUCAGAGAGUGAGAGGGGGUGAGGGGGAGAACCCAAGAUGGAAGUCACAAUAUUUUUUUAUUUUUUUUGAGACGGAGUCUCGCUCUGUCACCCAGGCCGG
rnacentral:lncRNA from 1 species